rnacentral:rRNA from 1 species
CAGUCGCCACGGUAAUACGAAGGGGGCUAGCGUUGUUCGGAAUUACUGGGCGUAAAGCGCACGUAGGCGGAUCGAUCAGUCAGGGGUGAAAUCCCAGGGCUCAACCCUGGAACUGCCUUUGAUACCGUCGAUCUGGAGUAUGGAAGAGGUGAGUGGAAUUCCGAGUGUAGAGGUGAAAUUCGUAGAUAUUCGGAGGAACACCAGUGGCGAAGGCGGCUCACUGGUCCAUUACUGACGCUGAGGUGCGAAAGCGUGGGGAGCAAACAGGAUUAGAUACCCCGGUAGUCCCUGUCUCUUAUAC